UGGCGAGUGGCGAACGGGUGAGUAACAUAUCGGAACGUACCAAGUAGUGGGGGAUAACUGUCCGAAAGGAUGGCUAAUACCGCAUACGAUCUUAGGAUGAAAGUGGGGGACCUUAGGGCCUCACGCUAUUUGAGCGGCCGAUAACUGAUUAGCUAGUUGGUGGGGUAAAGGCCUACCAAGGCAACGAUCAGUAGCGGGUCUGAGAGGAUGAUCCGCCACAUUGGGACUGAGACACGGCCCAA
rnacentral:rRNA from 1 species